GACGAACGCUGGCGGCGUGCCUAAUACAUGCAAGUUGAGCGCUGAAGGUUGGUACUUGUACCAACUGGAUGAGCAGCGAACGGGUGAGUAACGCGUGGGGAAUCUGCCUUUGAGCGGGGGACAACAUUUGGAAACGAAUGCUAAUACCGCAUAAAAACUUUAAACACAAGUUUUAAGUUUGAAAGAUGCAAUUGCAUCACUCAAAGAUGAUCCCGCGUUGUAUUAGCUAGUUGGUGAGGUAAAGGCUCACCAAGGCGAUGAUACAUAGCCGACCUGAGAGGAUGAUCGGCCACAUUGGGACUGAGACACGGCCCAAACUCCUACGGGAGGCAGCAGUAGGGAAGCUUCGGAAAUGGACGAAAGUCUGACCGAGCAACGCCGCGUGAGUGAAGAAGGUUUUCGGAUCGUAAAACUCUGUUGGUAGAGAAGAACGUUGGUGAGAGUGGAAAGCUCAUCAAGUGACGGUAACUACCCAGAAAGGGACGGCUAACUACGUG
rnacentral:rRNA from 1 species